GUAGGUGGCAAGCGUUGUCCGGAAUUAUUGGGCGUAAAGCGCGCGCAGGCGGUCCUUUAAGUCUGAUGUGAAAGCCCACGGGCUCAACCGUGGAGGGUCAUUGGAAACUGGGGGACUUGAGUACAGAAGAGGAAAGCGGAAUUCCACGUGUAGCGGUGAAAUGCGUAGAGAUGUGGAGGAACACCAGUGGCGAAGGCGGCUUUCUGGUCUGUAACUGACGCUGAGGCGCGAAAGCGUGGGGAGCAAACAGGAUUAGAUACCCUGGUAGUCCACGCCGUAAACGAUGAGUGCUAAGUGUUAGUGGGUUUCCGCCCCUUAGUGCUGCAGCUAACGCAUUAAGCACUCCGCCUGGGGAGUACGGCCGCAAGGCUG
rnacentral:rRNA from 1 species